rnacentral:rRNA from 1 species
UACAGAGGGGGCGAGCGUUGUUCGGAAUUACUGGGCGUAAAGGGCGCGUAGGCGGCCCGCUAAGUCGAACGUGAAAUCCCCAGGCUCAACCUGGGAACUGCGUCCGAUACUGGCAGGCUUGAAUCCGGAAGAGGCGAGUGGAAUUCCUGGUGUAGCGGUGGAAUGCGCAGAUAUCAGGAGGAACACCAACGGCGAAGGCAGCUCGCUGGGACGGUACUGACACUGAGGCGCGAAAGCGUGGGGAGCGAACAGG